GGGGGUGACCUUGGUUUCGACGGAGGUAAUUGCGAUACAGGUUGCAUGUCGAGGUCUCCGCAGGCCUCGUUAAAUAGGCGGAACAAUUAUAAUUGCUGAUCAAGAAUUAGCACUAGCUGCUUAAUACGCAGCUACGCUUGGCCAACCUGUUUCCCGUCAGGGAAGCUAAAGCGCCGCAAUACGGGAUAGCGGUUUGAUUGUUCUCAAGGGGCAUUCCGUGAACCUAAACUUGAGAUAGCCUUUCAUGAAUCCUGCACAGGGGAGCUUGAAUGGCAAAACUCAAAACCUGUGAUAAGCAUGUAGUAGCCUUUAUUAAUAUGCCUUCGGACGCGGGUUCAAUUCCCGCCACCUCCAUUA
rnacentral:tmRNA from 1 species